CCAAAGGCUGUGCAUCCUUGCUGGCUGGAGAAGCUAGCUGUCCCCCAGGUUGCUGGUUUGGCACAGACUGUAAAUAGAAGGUGGUGGGAGCUGACACUGAAAAUAAAAAGCACUGGUGAUUGUACUCAGAAGGGGUCUCUGGCUGAUGGCAAGACCAAGUGUCCUAGAGCAUUGCUAUGGUGUUUCUGAUGAGAUGUACCACCAGGCCCUUUGAAGCCACCUGCUGGAGGCAUCAUGAUCCUACUAUACCCUGCCCCAGGAAAGGGGCAGUGAAGGUGGGUCCUCCACACCUGCCUAAAGAUGCUGCAGGGAAGAAGCCAAUCAGAGCUCAGUAGCCUCAGAAAAAAGGCACUGCAGAGUCUGAGCAGGUUAGUUACUGGCUGGGACCAGAAGGGUGGAGAGGGAGUAGAAGGCUGUGAAACUCCACAGAUAAAGUGACUGGGGAGAAACCUUGCUCCAGCAGGGAUAGGGUUGUGAAGCUCCCCAGGCACAGUAGUCUGGGAAAGAGAACUUUGACUAAAGGGGACCAGACUGUUGCAAGUUCUCCAGACAAAGAGGCCUCCGAGAAGACCCUGAGAAAUCAGGACAGGGACUGAAAAACUUUCCAGGCAAGGAGGCUUGGGAGAGACCCUGCUCCAACAGGGAACAGAUAAAGGACCCAGUAGGUGAUGGAACAGAACAGGAAACAACCCAGGUUAUGCAGCAGCAACUACUAAAGAAAACAGCACAUGGCUGCUAUUUAUAGGGUCCCUGGUUUGGGAUCUGGAGGCCUGGUGGGUGGGCCUGGUUCUCCCCCCCCCCACUGGCCAAGAAGAGGAUAAGACUCAGUACUAAAAGCUGGAGAAAGGGGCUAGAAUUUAAACAGGCCUAGAGAUGGGGCUGAAGACCCUGGAGAGGGCCAACCAUUUGAUGGACUGUGUCACUCCAGAUGGUGUUCCUUCAUGCAUUUGGACUAUGUGACUUAGCCAGAGAGCUGAGCCACUAAAGACCUGCUUGGCAAGGGCAACAGCCAACAGAAAGCACCAGGGAUAGAGAAAGGAGAGAGUGCACAAUUGCACUUAGCUGACAGGAGGCGCUCACAAGAGGUGAGUGUGACCCAUAGUGUUGCAUUAAGACCAUACAGUAUGAUUGCUGUCCCCUGGGCCCUCAGGAAAAUGAGAGGAAGCUGUCCCCAGUGUGCCGAAACUUUAAAUAAAUGCAUUCAGAGAAGGCUAAUACCCAGCUAAUGUAGACUUUAAAGUGUCAUUAGCUGAGAGAACUGACAAAACGGGUUACAUUCUAAAGGUGAAGACUUUGGAAAUGACUGAUCCAAUGGAAGAAUCAGGUUAUUCAUCUGGAAACAUCACUGGGCAGUGAAGAAAUAAUGCUGACUGUGUGACAUCACAAGCCAUAGAAACAGAUGGAUGUCAAAAGCAAGAUGCUGAGUUCAUUUCAGGAUCCAGCAAAAGGGGAAACUGGGUAAAAUCUUCAGUAGAUGGAAAGAACUAGAAAAUGCCAGCAAAAAUCAAUUGAUUUGCUCCAUUGAGCCCAGAGAAUGAGUAAAACUCUUCCUACCAGCAAAUGGACAGUAGCAAGCUAGCCUCUUAUGACAUCACUCAUAGCUGGAAGCCUUUGUUGACCUACAGGUGUGGCAGCUGGACCAAGUAACCACCCUCUGUUCAAUUUACAUCAUACACCAAUGCAAGGAAAUUAGUUGUAACAGGGGACGGUGAUUGAGUUACCUCUAUCAAACUGGUCUAGGAUUUUUUGCAUGGUAUUACUGUAGCUGUAUGCCACACUGAUGUCAUUUGUAAAGUCAAAAUGUCUGAGAACUUAAAACUUGAAGGGAAAUUCUUACCAUGAAAUGCCACCAUUUUCUUUGAAGUUGCUUUAAGUGCCAUAUGUGAAAAGAGGUAUAUCCCUGCUGGCUAACUAACCAGGGGACUCACCCAUGCAGACACUCCUUGUACAGCUCCUCCUCAGGAUAAAUGUGGGAUUUCAUUUCCUCAAGGCUGAGUCUCUCUUACAUAUAAAAGGAAUCUCCUCUAGGCUUUGUACCCUACACUGGGUGUCUCUUUAAGAGGGAACAGGGCCCAGUGCACCUGGGCUGAUUACCUGCUGCCCAGUUGGGGCUUAAGAAUCUCCAGCAGCUCCUGCUGUGUGCCACACUCAUUCUCUUGGGCUGCUCUC